CCCCCCCCCCCCUCCCCAAGUCCUUAAGAUGCAAAACAAAUUCACUCAACAAAAACCAAAUUGGUAUAAACCAUGGAACAAUCAUGCCGAGCGCUAUGUAAAAACCAGAAGCAACAAAACAAAAAAAAAUUGAAGGUAAAUUAAGACAUUAGGAAACCAAAAUGCUGAUGAGAGAAUAGACACCAAGAUAUACACAUUGAACUUUUGUUAAGUCUACCACUUCUGACCACCAAAAAAAUAGAUAAAUACAGUAUAGAAAUAAAUAUAUAUAUAUAUAUUUUUAGUGUACUGGUACAAGGCAUGGUAGACAGAAUGGUACGCAAACACAAAUAGGAGAAAACAAAAUGCUGAAUUCAUCAUGACAUAAGAUCAUGCACCAGCCAACUGGUCUGGCUUCAUAGCUCAACAAAUUCAGUUUUUUUUUUAGUUUUUUUUA